rnacentral:sRNA from 1 species
CCACCAUGAGCUGGCUGGAGGAGAACGUCCACGAGGUUCUGCAGGCAGUGGACGCUGGGGACCCAGCCGUGGAAGCCUGUGAGAACCGGCGGAAGGUACUCUACCAGCGUGCACCCAGGAAUAUCCACCGCCAUGUGAUCCUCUCUGAGAUCAAGGAAGCCGUUGCUGCCCUGCCCCCGGACGUGACCACGCAGUCUGUGAUGGGGUUUGACCCUCUGCCUCCUUCGGACACAAUCUACUCCUACGUCAGGCCAGAGAGGAAGGGGAGAGGAGGAGAGGAACAGUGUUAUUUGGGGGUCACAGCUCUGUGUUUGCAGGCCGCGUUCUUUCCCAUCUCCAUCGAAUGUACGAGCGCUUGUGUGUCAGCCUCUGUGGCAGGUGCGAGUGACACAGUGGAAGCAGGUGUGCAGUGAAGUGGGGAAAACACAUUAAUUUUAGAAUCUAGAAAUAAAUAUAAAAUCAAAACUGC